CCUACGGGUGGCAGCAGUAGGGAAUCUUGCUCAAUGGGCGAAAGCCUGAAGCAGCAACGCCGCGUGGAGGAUGAAGGUUUUCGGAUUGUAAACUCUUUUUGUUAGAGAAGAUAAUGACGGUAUCUAACGAAUAAGCACCCGCUAACUCCUUGCCAGCAGCCGCGGUAAUACGGCGGGUGCAAGCGUUACUCGGAAGUACGGGGCGUAAAGUGCGCGUAGGCGGGUUUGCAAGUCAGAUGUGAAAGCCUAUGGCUUAACCAUAGAACUGCAUUUGAAACUGGUAGUCUUGAGUAUGGGAGAGGUAGGUGGAAUUCUUGGUGUAGGGGUGAAAUCCGUAGAGAUCAAGAGGAAUACUCAUUGCGAAGGCGACCUGCUAGAACGUAACUGACGCUGAUGCGCGAAAGCGUGGGGAGCAAACAGGAUUAGAUACCCUGGUAGUC
rnacentral:rRNA from 1 species